rnacentral:lncRNA from 13 species
CCAGAUCUGCCAGUCGACCAGACUCUUCCAGAUCUGCCAGUCGACCAGACUCUUCCAGAUCUGCCAGUCGACCAGACUCUUCCAGAUCUGCCAGUCGACCAGACUCUUCCAGAUCUGCCAGUCGACCAGACUCUUCCAGAUCUGCCUGUCGGCCAGGAUCUGCCAGCCGGCCAGGAUCUGGUAGAUUCAUCAACCUGCCUGAGCUUCCCCUCAGUCCCGAGCUGCCUCAGUCCCGAGCUGCCCCUCGGUCCCGAGCUGCUCCUCAGUCCAGUGGGGUUCUGGGUGAGGACUACUAGGCCAUGGUCGGCAGUGAGGGUGGACUAUCCAGGGACGCGAGGAGAAGGGACUAAGACAUUGAUUGAGUGGGGUCCACAUCCCGCGCCGGAGCCGCCACCAUGGACAGACGCCCACCCGGACCCUCCCUAUUGUUUUGAGGUGCGUUCGGGAGUCCGCACCUUAGGGGGGGGGGUUCUGUCACACCCUGGUCGAAGUAUUUUGUGUUCAUCUUUAUUUAUUUGGUCAGGCCAGGGUGUGGCAUGGGUUUUUGUAGGUGGUAUGUAUGGGGAUUGUAGCUAGUGGGGUGUUCUAGCUAAGUCUAUGGCUGUCUGAAGUGGUUCUCAAUCAGAGGCAGGUGUUUAUCGUUGUCUCUGAUUGGGAACCAUAUUUAGGCAGCCAUAUUCUUUGAGUUUGUCGUGGGUGAUUGUCCUUAGUGUCCUGAUGUCAUUGUUUCUGUGUUAGGAUACACAAGUAUAGGCUGUUUCGGUUUUCGUUAAGUUUAUUGUUUUGGUAGUGUUUGUGUUUAGUGUGUUUCUUCAUUAAACAUGGAUUGCAAUAGACACGCCGCAUUUUGGUCCGACUCUCCUUCACAUACAGAAAACCGUGACAAUCCUGGACCUGAUGUUGGUGUUAUUAAAUCUUAGCCUGGGCCUGGUGUUGGUGUUAUUAAAUCUUAGCCUGGUGUUAUUAAAUCUUAGCCUGGACCUGAUGUUGGUGUUAUUAAAUCUUAGCCUGGGACUGGUGUUGGUGUUAUUAAAUCUUAGCCUGGGACUGGUGUUGGUGUUAUUAAAUCUUAUCCUGGACCUGAUGUUGGUGUUAUUAAAUCUUAUCCUGGACCUGAUGUUGGUGUUAUUAAAUCUUAGCCUGGGCUUGGUGCUGGUGUUAUUAAAUCUUAGCCUGGGACUGGUGUUGGUGUUAUUAAAUCUUAUCCUGGACCUGAUGUUGGUGUUAUUACAUCUUAGCCUGGGACUGGUGCUGGUGUUAUUAAAUCUUAGCCUGGGCUUGGUGCUGGUGUUAUUAAAUCUUAGC